GCUAGCGUUGCUCGGAAUCACUGGGCGUAAAGGGUUCGUAGGCGGGGCUUUAAGUCAGGGGUGAAAUCCUGGAGCUCAACUCCAGAACUGCCUUUGAUACUGAGGAUCUUGAGUUCGGGAGAGGUGAGUGGAACUGCGAGUGUAGAGGUGAAAUUCGUAGAUAUUCGCAAGAACACCAGUGGCGAAGGCGGCUCACUGGCCCGAUACUGACGCUGAGGUGCGAAAGCGUGGGGAGCAAACAGG
rnacentral:rRNA from 1 species